AGAGUUUGAUCCUGGCUCAGAACGAACGCUGGCGGCAGGCUUAACACAUGCNGUCGAACGCACCUUCGGGUGAGUGGCAGACGGGUGAGUAACGCGUGGGAACGUGCCCUUCAGUUCGGAAUAACCCAGGGAAACUUGGGCUAAUACCGGAUACGUGCGAGAGCAGAAAGAUUUAUCGCUGAAGGAUCGGCCCGCGUCUGAUUAGCUAGUUGGUGGGGUAAUGGCCCACCAAGGCGACGAUCAGUAGCUGGUCUGAGAGGAUGAUCAGCCACAUUGGGACUGAGACACGGCCCAAACUCCUACGGGAGGCAGCAGUGGGGAAUAUUGGACAAUGGGCGCAAGCCUGAUCCAGCCAUGCCGCGUGAGUGAUGAAGGCCUUAGGGUUGUAAAGCUCUUUCGGCGGGGACGAUAAUGACGGUACCCGCAGAAGAAGCCCCGGCUAACUUCGUGCCAGCAGCCGCGGUAAUACGAAGGGGGCUAGCGUUGUUCGGAAUCACUGGGCGUAAAGGGCGCGUAGGCGGCUUGAUAAGUCGGGGGUGAAAGCCUGUGGCUCAACCACAGAAUUGCCUUCGAUACUGUCUGGCUUGAGACCGGAAGAGGUAAGUGGAACUGCGAGUGUAGAGGUGAAAUUCGUAGAUAUUCGCAAGAACACCAGUGGCGAAGGCGGCUUACUGGUCCGGUUCUGACGCUGAGGCGCGAAAGCGUGGGGAGCAAACAGGAUUAGAUACCCUAGUAGUCC
rnacentral:rRNA from 1 species